GUCCUUUCGGGGACAUCCGAUAAAAUUAGAACGAUACAGAGAAAAUUAGCAUAGCCCCUAUGCAAGGAUGACAAGCACAAAUCGAAAAAAGAUCCAAAAUUUU